rnacentral:rRNA from 1 species
ACGCUGGCGGCAGGCUUUAACACAUGCAAGUCGAACGGUAGCAGGGAGGAAAAGCUUGCUUUCUUGCUGACGAGUGGCGGACGGGUGAGUAAUGCUUGGGAAUCUGGCUUAUGGAGGGGGAUAACUACGGGAAACUGUAGCUAAUACCGCGUAGUAUCGGAAGAUGAAAGUGCGGGACCGCAAGGCCGCAUGCCAUGGGAUGAGCCCAAGUGGGAUUAGGUAGUUGGUGGGGUAAAGGCCUACCAAGCCCGCGAUCUCUAGUUGGUCUGAGAGGAUGGCCAGCCACACUGGAACUGAGACACGGUCCAGACUCCUACGGGAGGCAGCAGUGGGGAAUAUUGCGCAAUGGGGGGAACCCUGACGCAGCCAUGCCGCGUGAAUGAAGAAGGCCUUCGGGUUGUAAAGUUCUUUCGGUAUUGAGGAAGGUUGAUGUGUUAAUAGUACAUCAAAUUGACGUUAAAUACAGAAGAAGCACCGGCUAACUCCGUGCCAGCAGCCGCGGUAAUACGGAGGGUGCGAGCGUCAAUCGGAAUAACUGGGCGUAAAGGGCACGCAGGCGGUUAUUUAAGUGAGGUGUGAAAGCCCCGGGCUUAACCUGGGAAUUGCAUUUCAGACUGGGUAACUAGAGUACUUUAGGGAGGGGUAGAAUUCCACGUGUAGCGGUGAAAUGCGUAGAGAUGUGGAGGAAUACCGAAGGCGAAGGCAGCCCCUUGGGAAUGUACUGACGCUCAUGUGCGAAAGCGUGGGGAGCAAACAGGAUUAGAUACCCUGGUAGUCCACGCUGUAAACGCUGUCGAUUUGGGGGUUGGGGUUUAAGUCUGGCACCCGUAGCUAACGUGAUAAAUCGACCGCCUGGGGAGUACGGCCGCAAGGUUAAAACUCAAAUGAAUUGACGGGGGCCCGCACAAGCGGUGGAGCAUGUGGUUUAAUUCGAUGC